rnacentral:rRNA from 1 species
ACAUGCCUACAACAUAGUGUUAUUGAACCGGAUCCCAUUAGAACUCCGCAGUUAAGUGCCCUCAGGCUAGAGUAGCACUGGGAUGGGUGACUUCUUGAGAAGUCCUAGUGUUUUACAUGCC